rnacentral:rRNA from 1 species
UACGGUAGGUGGCAAGCGUUUGUCCGGAUUUACUGGGCGUAAAGAGCGCGCAGGCGGUCGUUCAAGUCGAGUGUGAAAGCCCCCCGGCUCAACUGGGGAGGGUCACUCGAUACUGAUCGACUCGAAGGCAGAAGAGGGAAGCGGAAUUCCCGGUGUAGUGGUGAAAUGCGUAGAUAUCGGGAGGAACACCAGUGGCGAAGGCGGGCUUUCUUGGUCUGCUCUUGACGCUGAGGCGCGAAAAGCUAGGGUAGCAAACGGG